GAUGAACGCUGGCGGCGUGCCUAAUACAUGCAAGUCGAGCGAACAGACGAGGAACUUGCUCCUCUGACGUUAGCGGCGGACGGGUGAGUAACACGUGGAUAACCUACCUAUAAGACUGGGAUAACUUCGGGAAACCGGAGCUAAUACCGGAUAAUAUAUUGAACCGCAUGGUUCACUAGUGAAAGACGGUUUUGCUGUCACUUAUAGAUGGAUCCGCGCCGCAUUAGCUAGUUGGUAAGGUAACGGCUUACCAAGGCAACGAUGCGUAGCCGACCGGAGAGGGGGAUCGGCCACACUGGAACUGAGACACGGUCCAGACUCCUACGGGAGGCAGCAGUAGGGAAUCUUCGGCAAUGGGCGAAAGCCUGACGGAGCAACGCCGCGUGAGUGAAGAAGGUCUUCGGAUCGUAAAACUCUGUUAUUAGGGAAGAAUAAAUUGGUAAGUAAAUAGGCACGUCUUGACGGUACCUAAACAAAAAGCCACGGCUAACUACGUG
rnacentral:rRNA from 1 species